AAUGAAUGUGCAUUAAAUUUAACAACAAUAACAAUUCAGUUAAAAAGAAGUAGUGUUUUGUGUUUGUUUGUUUUUGUUGUUGUGUUUUUACUGAAGCUGUGGAACUCACUGCGAGAGGAUGCUGUGCAUCCAUGCCAGAAGAUCAGUCAAAAAACUCUGCAGUGUGGCAGACCACAGGUGUCCAAGCUCGGUGACAUAUCAGCUGAAAUAAUACAGCAGUGAAGACAUAGCCCCUGAGAAUGUGGUGAAAGCUUCAACUGAGAGCUCUCUCUAUACCUGCUGAAAGGUCUGUGGGAAGAUCUGAAUUGCACUGGCAUAAGUGCUUGAACAUUUGUUUUCCCAUUGUCUUCUGGUUGCACAAGGAACAUGUGGCUUCAGUCGAAUACUCUUGGCAGAAAAUUAAAUGCAGCAUCAGAUCAGAAGAAAAAAAGAGAAAACACUGCACUGCUCACAGGGGGUCAGCAGGGUCCAAGGAUGCUGCCUUUUUUUUUUUUAAUGACUCUACAUUGUUGCUAAUUUAAACAAGACAUUGCCAAAUUUGUUGAAAACUUCUCAAUCCUAGGACUAUUCAGAACUCUUCCUCCAGUAUGUUCCUUCAUCUCAUUUUCUCCCAUAGAGUUAGCUCAAGAAUUAUGCUUUCCCUGGAAACACAUCUUUUUUGAAUAUUUUUUAUGCUCCAGCAGGAAAGCCAAAACAUGUUUUCUUUCUGAUUUUGGUAAAAUAAAUCAAUGUAUUCC
rnacentral:lncRNA from 1 species